rnacentral:ncRNA from 9 species
UUAGUGACGCGCAUGAAUGGAUUAAC